UGGGGAAUAUGGGACAAUGGGCGCAAGCCUGAUCCAGCCAUGCCGCGUGAGGGAUGAAGGCCCUAGGGUUGUAAAGCUCUUUCAACGGUGAAGAUAAUGACGGUAACCGGAGAAGAAGCCGCGGCUAACUGCGUGCCAGCAGCCGCGGUAAUACGAAGGGGGCUAGCGUUGUUCGGAUUUACUGGGCGUAAAGCGCACGUAGGCGGACUAUUAAGUCAGGGGUGAAAUCCCGGGGCUCAACCCCGGAACUGCCUUUGAUACUGGUAGUCUUGAGUUCGAGAGAGGUGUGUGGAAUUCCGAGUGUAGAGGUGAAAUUCGUAGAUAUUCGGAGGAACACCAGUGGCGAAGGCGGCUCACUGGCUCGAUACUGACGCUGGGGUGCGAAAGCGUGGGGAGCAAACAGG
rnacentral:rRNA from 1 species